AGUGUUGAUCUGGAUCUUUCAUCAGUCACACCUGAAGACUGGCACAGCUACAGAUGUAUGUUUCAGCUCUCUGGUGUGAACGAGGACAUCGUCACCAAACUGGACAAAGCAGCGAUCAGGACCAAUGAGGGUUCUUCAGUCUUCCCUGCUGGUGUUGUUGUCCGGUUUAUGGGCAUCCUGCUCCUCCUGACUGUCUGCUUCUCUGCAGUCUUUAUCUGGAGGAGAAAAUAUAAAGAGCUGUACUGACAUGCAGCUUUAGAAAGAAUUGCUCAUCUCAGCUUUGCAUGAAGACAGCCUCUCCCAGAAUUCACCUGCUUUCUGCAUACAUGCUACUACUGCACAUUCACCUAAUGUAUAUAUUAUAUAUAAUGUUCUUCCUCUACCUUUCUGCUGCAACAAGAUGGAGAAACUGCAAAUAAUACAAAAAGUUAUUUGGCUUUAAUUUGAAAGUCAAAUUCAGUUUACAUAAAGUGUUUGCACUGUGAACCUUUAGUUUUACUGUAGUAGCUCUCAGACAAAGACUCUGAAAGAACAUUACAUUUCAAUUUUUCACUAUUUCAAUUUUCAGCUUUUUCCUUUUAAACA